rnacentral:rRNA from 1 species
UACGGGGGGGGUAAGCGUUGUUCGGAAUUACUGGGCGUAAAGGGCUCGUAGGCGGCCAACUAAGUCAUACGUGAAAUCCCUCAGCUUAACUGGGGAACUGCGUGUGAUACUGGAUGGCUUGGAUUUGGGAGAGGGAUGCGGAAUUCCAGGUGUAGCGGUGAAAUGCGUAGAUAUCUGGAGGAAUACCGGUGGCGAAGGCGGCAUCCUGGACCAAUAUUGACGCUGAGGAGCGAAAGCCAGGGGAGCAAACGGG